ACUACCCACUUAGAAAUUGAAACCGGAGUAGAAGAGAGGCGAAAAUUCUGAAAUUAGGGCGGCAAAAAACAAAGCGGGAUUCCGACUGAUUUUCACGUUGCUUGUUUCAUCGACGAUUCCGACAUUGAACGUGAUUGCUCCUCCAGUCCAUCUUCUUCAUCUCCAAAACCGGGUACGGUAUGAAUUUUUGGUUGGAAUUUAGUUGUUUAAUUAGAGCUGAAAUUUUAGUCACCAAUUAUACGUAUAGAAUGUUAAGCAUUGCUGGGCAUGGAAAUUUCAGAAUUUUGGUUGGAAUUUUGUUGAAGGUUUAAGCUGUAAUUUUUAAUCACCGGUCACCAGUACCUAUAUCUUUCACGUCUCGGUCUCUCUUACAAAAUAUUCCAAAAUUUAUUUCCAGUAAUGCAUGAUUGUUCUCUAGCAUCACCCAUUUGUGCAUUAACAGGUGAGAAGGGUUCUAAAAGGUGGGGGAAAGUUUAUUUGUCUUACCUUAGCAGAUCAUGUAGGAGUGGUGAUUUUUCAUAGUUUAUAUAUGAUGAAUAUUUUUAUAUUUUUCUGUUCCCUAAUGUAUUCAUAAUUAUAAUUAACAUCAUUUGCAUAACAGCUAAUGCAGAGAGUUAAGUUUUGUUUUCAUUAUAUGAGAUUCUUGCAGAACUACAAUUUUCGGCAAAUGCUCAGCUCCAACAGUCUCUUUGUGCUUCCGACAUCAUCCCAUCUCUGGCAAUCGCUCAACUCCAGUACUAUUAGCGGCUAAAUAACGAAGAAGAGCUCUUGAUUUUUGUGAGUGUGAACGUGGCGGUUAGCUACGGAAAAUGGACGGACAUGGCAUGAUUAGUGGGUUAUGUUGAACUAGUUAUGUUAUGUUAAAUAGCGGCAAGGUCAAAAUCUUAAUUUGUUAUUUUAGUGUACUGCAAUGAAUUGGUAGAUUUUGGUUGAAAUGGAUGACUUACUUCAGGUACCUUGUCUUACUAGCACAUUGAACGCUUGGUUAAUUAUAAUAACAAGAGUUUGGAGUUUGUUAAAUGUGAUGGUUAUGUUUAGUUUAAACACAUCCAAAUUUAUUAAAAUUUAUGUGUUUCGAUUAUAGUUAGUCCAAACAUAGACUAGCAAAAACCGAGAAAUGUCAUACUGUUGAUAAAUAGAAAGACUAGUUUCAAAUUUGGGAUUAUGAUGGAGGUAAAACUUUCAACACCAUCAUGACACUCUUCUAGUGAGUGUUUAGAUCGUGAAUUCAGUGUGCAC
rnacentral:lncRNA from 1 species